rnacentral:rRNA from 1 species
UACAGAGGGGGCAAGCGUUGUUCGGAAUUACUGGGCGUAAAGGGCGCGUAGGCGGCCCGCUAAGUCGAACGUGAAAUCCCCGAGCUCAACUCGGGAACUGCGUCCGAUACUGGCGGGCUUGAAUCCGGGAGAGGGAUGCGGAAUUCCAGGUGUAGCGGUGAAAUGCGUAGAUAUCUGGAGGAACACCGGUGGCGAAGGCGGCAUCCUGGACCAAUACUGACACUGAGGAGCGAAAGCCAGGGGAGCAAACGGG